rnacentral:rRNA from 1 species
AGGGAAUCGCACGAAUGGAAAUGUGCGUCCAAGCAGUGAGUGUGAGAAGUAGGCAAAUCCGCUUCUCGCGAAGCAUGAGCUGUGAUGGGGAAGGAAAUUAAGUACGGAAGUUCCUGAUUUCACGCUGUCAAGAAAAGCCUCUAGGAAGAGUAGUACUGCCCGUACCGCAAACCGACACAGGUAGAUGAGGAGAGAAUCCUAAGGUGAGCGAGAGAACUCUCGUUAAGGAACUCGGCAAAAUGACCCCGUAACUUCGGGAGAAGGGGUGCUCUAUUAGGGUGCAAGCCCGAGAGAGCCGCAGUGAAUAGGCCCAGGCGACUGUUUAGCAAAAACACAGGUCUCUGCAAAACCGUAAGGUGACGUAUAGGGGCUGACGCCUGCCCGGUGCUGGAAGGUUAAGAGGAGUGCUUAGCUUCGGCGAAGGUACGAAUUGAAGCCCCAGUAAACGGCGGCCGUAACUAUAACGGUCCUAAGGUAGCGAAAUUCCUUGUCGGGUAAGUUCCGACCCGCACGAAAGGCGCAACGAUCUGGGCACUGUCUCAACGAGAGACUCGGUGAAAUUAUAGUACCUGUGAAGAUGCAGGUUACCCGCGACAGGACGGAAAGACCCCGUGGAGCUUUACUGCAACCUGAUAUGGAAUGUUUGUACCGCUUGUACAGGAUAGGUAGGAGCCGAAGAGACGUGUGCGCUAGCAUACGAGGAGGCAAUGGUGGGAUACUACCCUGGCUGUAUGACCAUUCUAACCCGCCACGCUUAGCGCGUGGGGAGACAGUGUCAGGUGGGCAGUUUGACUGGGGCGGUCGCCUCCUAAAGAGUAACGGAGGCGCCCAAAGGUUCCCUCAGAAUGGAUGGAAAUCAUUCGCAGAGUGUAAAGGCACAAGGGAGCUUGACUGCGAGA